AGGCCAUAGGUGGACGGGGGUGACAAGCUGAGCUGAGCUUGUGAAGGGGGCUCCCUGCAGGCACCCUCUGGGAGGACCACCCAGGAGCUCACGUACCACCAAUGUGAACAGGGCUGGGGAGCAAAUCUGUCUUUGGAGGGGCGGCUCCAGUGUUGCAGGGGCCACAGAAGAGGGAGGGGCAGGGGUCCAGUCCCCGCCUCAAACCUGCCCAGAGUGACCCCAAUGCCACCCCAUACUCUGACCUCUCACUUCUGACUGCCCGCCCUCGGCUGCUCAGCCUGCCAGGGAGAGGACAGGCGGCCAGCCAAUCCCAGACGCCCCGGGCCGCACCCCUGGCCAGCGAGAUCCAGGCGAGCGUAUAAAUACACCUGCCAGGAGCCCACACCCAGAGAAUCCAGCUGCCCUGGACAGCGCUCGACACCCGGAGGAGCUCACACAUCCCCCUGUGCCCCACCUGCCUGGCACAGCUGCUGGUGGCUGGCCCUGGAGAGGAACACCUGCCAGGUAGAGCAUAGGCCGGCCUGCCCCGGGGGAGAAGGAGCCAGCACCGCUGGGACGAGAGAGCACGCAGCUCCAGCCUGGCUGUGCCGGCCGAGAGGUCAUGCCCAGGUCCCACUGACCUCAGCUACCAGAUGCCAGAGGCCCCCGUGACAUCACACAGUGUUGUCACCGUCAGGAGACACCUGAGCCUUCGUGGCAUGUCACUGCGAAGUCAUUGCACCAGCCCACCUGGACGGACCAAGUCAGGCUCAGGUCAUUGUUGGGGGCCCUCCUGGGCUCCAUCGGGAAGGUGAUGGGCGAGUCACCCCCUCUCGGACCCCUAUGGCCACCUUGGGUGGAGACCUGGGCUCCGUGGAGGGGCAGCAGGCAGGUCACCUGAGCCUCCCCAGGAAGAUAGAGGCAGGGACUCCUGUGAGAGGGAACAGGUUAGGUGGGGACAUCCCACUGCCUCCUGGCUGGUAGCUGUGGCCGAAGGGACUCUUCAGGUGCUGGGCCGGCCUGGAGAGGACGGCAGGGCCUGUCCGCCUCCUGCUCCCUGGGCUGCAGGCUGAGGAGCAUUUCAGGGCCGUUGUCACACGCCAGACAAGCUGGCCCUGCAGGUUUGGGCUGUGGCUGGGAGACAAACCCACUUCUCGGGCCACAGCCACCGCCCUUGCUCAGGCCCUUCCCACCUCCUGCAGCCCGACCAGCUCAGGCCAGCUCCCAGAUCCUGACUCCCAACUCGCACACCACCCAGCCCGGCCCUCACCCUCACACAACUGACUGAAAUCUGAGUGUGCCCCAACCAAUCAGCUGCCCACACUGGGAUCCCUGGUAGACCCACUUCGCCUGACCUGGAGCCACACCCCGCAAGAGCCUAGGUCCCUCUGAGCUGCAUCUUCCGUGCGGCGGCUGUGGCGGAUCACGUGAGCAGGGCCCAGCCUGGCAGAGCCCAGUUGUAAACGGUACUGCUGUGGGCCAUUGUCAUCAUCACCAUUGUUUCUGACCAGUGGCACAGCCAGGUAGGACAGGGCUGUGGGUGGGUCUGAUGAGCAGUGGGCCCCACGGGCUCCAUCCUCAGAUCUGCCCUGGUCUGCCCCCCACCCAGGGUUCCCCCCCUUGACUCGGCGUGUGAGGAGGGAGGGAGGGCAGGGUUACAACUUGGGCAGAA
ensembl:lncRNA